AUUCUGCUGACGAGUCCUAAAUAAGACGAAACAUGCGUCCUAGAU
rnacentral:hammerhead_ribozyme from 1 species